UUACUGCCAACCUCUGCAGGACGAGAAGGACGACGUUCAUUCAAACUGAUGAACUUUGACUGAUUGGUGUGAUUGGCAUGUUCUCCUGAGGACCUGAACCUGACUGCUCCCGUCUCCACAUUAAAGGACUUUACAUGUCAUUGUGACAGGCGUAGAGGACCUCUCCCUCUGUCAAAACAUCAUCACCAUCAUCAUCAUCAUCAUCAUCACCAUCAUCAUCACCAUCA